rnacentral:rRNA from 1 species
GACGAACGCUGGCGGCGUGCUUAACACAUGCAAGUCGUACGGUAAGGCCCUUUCGGGGGUACACGAGUGGCGAACGGGUGAGUAACACGUGAGUAACCUGCCCACAACUUUGGGAUAACGCUAGGAAACUGGUGCUAAUACUGGAUAUGUGCUCCUGCUGCAUGGUGGGGGUUGGAAAGCUCCGGCGGUUGUGGAUGGACUCGCGGCUUAUCAGCUUGUUGGUGGGGUAGUGGCUUACCAAGGCUUUGACGGGUAGCCGGCCUGAGAGGGUGACCGGCCACAUUGGGACUGAGAUACGGCCCAGACUCCUACGGGAGGCAGCAGUGGGGAAUAUUGCACAAUGGGCGGAAGCCUGAUGCAGCAACGCCGCGUGCGGGAUGACGGCCUUCGGGUUGUAAACCGCUUUCGCCUGUGACGAAGCGUGAGUGACGGUAAUGGGUAAAGAAGCACCGGCUAACUACGUG